AUCGCAUCUCGCCCUUUUAAAAAAGUUCAGGUGUAAUAUUUGUUUUUAUCAGUUUAAUAUCUCAUAAGCUCCCUAUCUAGGGACCAUAUAUUAUAUAAGUUUUUAGUAAGAUAGAAGAAGAGCUUGCUCUGUUCACUCAAUACAUUGACCUGGUAUUGCAGUGCUUCCAGGUGCGGUACACAAAUG